UUUAAAUUGAGAGUUUGAUCCUGGCUCAGGACGAACGCUGGCGGCGUGCCUAACACAUGCAA
rnacentral:rRNA from 2 species